UACGGAGGAUCCAAGCGUUAUCCGGAGUUAUUGGGCUUAAAGGGUGCGUAGGCGGCCUAUUAAGUCAGGGGUGAAAGACGGUGGCUUAACUAUCGCAGUGCCUUUGAUACUGAUGGGCUUGAAUGUACUUGAGGUAGGCGGAAUGUGACAAGUAGCGGUGAAAUGCAUAGAUAUGUCACAGAACACCAAUUGCGAAGACAGCUUACUAAAGUAUGAUUGACGCUGAGGCACGAAAGCGUGGGGAUCAAACAGG
rnacentral:rRNA from 1 species